UGCGGAAGAGAUCGGGCCUUGAGCGCCCGGCGCCGAAGGAGCAACCGCCCCGGAAACUCUCAGGCAAAAGGACCGUAAA
rnacentral:ncRNA from 1 species